GAUACCAUAAAAAACAAAGUGUUUGGAACGGAUAUCAACAAUAAUUCCAGUAAAAUCACAUUUUUCGAUAAUAUAUAGGCUUCUAUUGUUACCGGGAGCUGGAUGCAGCUUGGGAUCCAUGACAGCGACAACACUGAGCUGCGACAAACUGAGACCACUUAGCGCUGCUGUGUAUUGGCCCUGCAUGUCGCCUAUCACUGCGUUGUGGUCGUCUCGCAGCCACAGCAGGCGGUGAUCCAGGUAGCAAAGUGGACCUGCAACAACACAGUUCAGUUAUUACACCUAUAUGGGUCUUCUAAGGCAAUCGGCUGUUGGAGCAUGGAACAGAGUCGAUCCUUCAUAGCUACGAACUAUCCAGUAGACACCCUGGUGAUCCACGUCCAAAGUUAGGCCCAUUACUGC
rnacentral:lncRNA from 1 species